UGGAACCCCUUCUCUUCCAUUUUAUGAAUCACCAAGGACCAUGGAUUCAGUCACCUGCAUCUUAAAUGGCCUGAGGGUUGUGUCUUCAGGCUCCAUGGUGUCAAAUAAUUUUGACAGGCAAUGGAAAGGCAAUAUUUCUAGGGCGGGCUCUCCCUUCUGUUUUGCCCAUAGACUUUUCAAUCAAUCAAAGCCAGGCUUUUUUUCCCCACUGAAGUGUUCAAUAAUUCAUCAGACUCUGGCUUAGGGCCAUGGCUGAUGUUCGGAAGAAGAAUUGCAAUGAAGAGGAGGAGGAGAAGAGUGGAUUGCAUUUUGGGCAAAUUUACAGGCCGCAGACAAUUAAAUGUUGCUAACAGGGCAACGGCUCUCGUUGAGUUCACAGAAUCAAAUUUCAACAGAAAACUUUUGAGCUGCCUCAUAAAAGUCCAUUUUCAUUUAUUUGAUCAUAAUUACAUUCUAUUGUUUUCAUUAUGUGUCAUUUUUA